GACGAACGCUGGCGGCGUGCCUAAUACAUGCAAGUAGGACGCAGUUGCGAACGGGGGAGUAACGCGUAGGUAACUGCCUAUUAACGGGGGAUAAAUAUUGGAAACGAUAGCUAAUACCGCAUACUAGUAGAUGGACCUUCGUUGGAUUAGCUAGUAGGUAGGGUAAUGGCCUACCUAGGGAACGAUACAUAGCCGACGCGGGGUGUGGAACGGCCACACUGGGACUGGGGAAAGGGCCAGACUCCUACGGGAGGCAGCAGUAGGGAAUCUUCGGACAUGGGGGGAACCCUGACCGAGCAACGCCGCGUGAGUGAAGAAGGUUUUCGGGGCGGAAAGCUCUGUUGUGAAGGAAGCGGUACUUAAACAGAAAGGGACGGCUAACUACGUGCCAGCAGCCGCGGUAAUAC
rnacentral:rRNA from 1 species